UACGUAGGGGGCGAGCGUUGUUCGGAAUUACUGGGCGUAAAGGGCGUGUAGGCGGUGCGGUAAGUUUGAUGUGAAAUCUCCGGGCUCAACCCGGAAAUGGCAUUGAAUACUAUCUUGCUAGAGGAGUGGAGGGGGGACUGGAAUACUUGGUGUAGCAGUGAAAUGCGUAGAUAUCAGGAGGAACACCGGUGGCGAAGGCGGUUCUCUGGGCAUUACCUGACGCUGAGGAGCGAAAGCAUGGGGAGCGAACAGG
rnacentral:rRNA from 1 species